rnacentral:rRNA from 1 species
UACGAAGGGGGGCUAGCGUUGUUCGGAUUUACUGGGCGUAAAGCGCACGUAGGCGGUUUGUUAAGUCAGGGGUGAAAUCCCGGAGCUCAACUCCGGAACUGCCUUUGAUACUGGCAGCUAGAGUCCGGAAGAGGUAAGUGGAACUCCUAGUGUAGAGGUGGAAUUCGUAGAUAUUAGGAAGAACACCAGUGGCGAAGGCGGCUUACUGGUCCGGAACUGACGCUGAGGUGCGAAAGCGUGGGGAGCAAACAGG